rnacentral:rRNA from 1 species
AGUACAUACUUUUAUAAAGUGAAACCGCGAAUGGCUCAUUAAAUCAGUUAUGGUUCCUUAGAGCGUUCUAUCCUAUUUGGAUAACUGUGGUAAUUCUAGAGCUAAUACAUGCAGAAAAGCUCCGACCUUCGGGGAAGGGCGCAGUUGUUAGAUCAAAACCAGACGGGCGCAAGCCUGGCGCUUUGAUGACUCUGGACAACCUUGCGGAUCGCACGGCCUUGUGCCGGCGACGUUUCUUUCGAAUGUCUGACCUAUCAACUUUCGAUGGUAGGAGAUAUGCCUACCAUGGUGGUAACGGGUAACGGAGAAUAAGGGUUCGACUCCGGAGAGGGAGCAUGAGAAAUGGCUACCACUUCUACGGAAGGCAGCAGGCGCGCAAAUUACCCACUCCUGGAACGGGGAGGUAGUGACGAAAAAUAACAAUACGGGACUCUUUCGAGGCCCCGUAAUUGGAAUGAGAACAUUUUAAAUCCCUUAACGAGGAUCUAUUGGAGGGCAAGUCUGGUGCCAGCAGCCGCGGUAAUUCCAGCUUCAAUAGCGUAUAUUAAAGUUGUUGCAGUUAAAAAGCUCGUAGUUGGAUCUCGGGCUCGGGCUAGCGGUCCACCUCGCGGUGGCACUGCUUGUCCCGACCUACCUCCCGGUAUUUUCUUGGUGCCCUUGGUUGGGUGUCUCGAGGAUCCGGAACGUUUACUUUGAAAAAAUUAGAGUGCUCAAAGCAGACGGGUGUCUGAAUAUCUCAGCAUGGAAUAAUGGAAUAGGACCUCGGUUUUAUUUUGUUGGUUUUGAAGACUCGAGGUAAUGAUUAAGAGGGACUGACGGGGCCAUUCGUAUUACGGCGUUAGAGGUGAAAUUCUUGGAUCGCCGUAAGACGAACUACUGCGAAAGCAUUUGGCAAGAAUGUUUUCAUUAAUCAAGAACGAAAGUCAGAGGUUCGAAGACGAUCAGAUACCGUCCUAGUUCUGACCAUAAACGAUGCCAUCUAGCGAUCCGCCGCUGUUGACUAUGGGACACGGCGGGCAGCUUCCGGGAAACCAAAGUUUUUGGGUUCCGGGGGGAGUAUGGUUGCAAAGCUGAAACUUAAAGGAAUUGACGGAAGGGCACCACCAGGAGUGGAGCCUGCGGCUUAAUUUGACUCAACACGGGGAAGCUCACCCGGCCCGGACACUGUGAGGAUUGACAGAUUGAGAGCUCUUUCUUGAUUCGGUGGGUAGUGGUGCAUGGCCGUUCUUAGUUGGUGGAGUGAUUUGUCUGGUUAAUUCCGAUAACGAACGAGACUCUGGCCUAUUAAAUAGUCUGACGAUUUGCUUGGUCGGCAGUGACUUCUUAGAGGGACAAGUGGCGUUUAGCCACACGAGAUUGAGCAAUAACAGGUCUGUGAUGCCCUUAGAUGUUCGGGGCCGCACGCGCGCUACACUGAAGGGAUCAGCGUGUGUCUACCCUGUGCCGAAAGGUAUGGGUAACCCGUUGAACCCCCUUCGUGCUUGGGAUUGCGGUUUGCAAUUUUUUCGCAUGAACGAGGAAUUCCCAGUAAGCGUGGUUCAUUAGACCACGUUGAUUACGUCCCUGCCCUUUGUACACACCGCCCGUCGCUACUACCGAUUGAAUGGUUUAGUGAGAUAGUGGGAUUGGCUCCGGUGAGGUGGCUUGCUGCCCCGCCGGUGGUUGAGAAGACGCUCGAACUUGAUC